rnacentral:rRNA from 1 species
CUCAGUAAGGGCGACUGAACCGGGAUUAGCCCAUCGCGUAGGCUAUAGUCUACGACCCCUUCCGGGGGGACGCGGACUAUUAGCGAUGCCGCGUAAUGGGAGAAUAACGAUACGUAUCAUCUCGGAUGCAUUCUAAAUAUACCUUGAGGGGUUUCUAGACAAAAUUGAAUAAAAUCCAAGUUGUCUAGCCAUGGAAGGUGGUAGCCCUGUAAGGAAAAAAAGAGGUGGUUACGUAUCCGUUCUCCCAAAGAGUAAGGUUGCUUGUAAUUACAACCCGAAGUAGGUGGUACAUUCCAUCUAAGGCUAAAUAUUCUUACGAGACCGAUAGAGAACAAGUACCGUGAGGGAAAGUUGAAAAGUACUCAAAGAAGAGAAAA